rnacentral:lncRNA from 1 species
CCGACUCAACCUCAAUUUGUUUUGGCAUCUUUGUAGGAGGUGCUUCAAGCUCGAGUGGUAUGGAUACAUUUACCAUAUCGCCCUCAAAGGGCUGAAUCUGGACAACAAUGGGAUUGAGAGUAACUGUUGGCUUCUUAGGCUCGUCUCCUUUAGCUAUCAAACCGAUCGACUCCUUGGGGUCCCAAUCAUCUUCGAUCUCAAUCUUGUGGAUGUCUCCUCCGUUAAGGUCAGGCAGAGGGUUGUUGCGAACAUUAGGAGUGGGCUCCUUUGCUAUGAUAAUCUUGCUGUCAUUCAGAUUCUGAAUCUUGUCUUUUAACGAGCGACACUCAUCAAUUGUAUGGCCCUUCAUACCAGAAUGGUAUGCACAAGUCUUGUUUUGGUUGAUCCAUUUGGAAGGGUUUUUUGGAGUUACGGCUGGGAUAGAGGUAACAUAACCUACUGCUUUGAGUUUUUCAUAUAAUUGAUCAACCGGCUCGGCUAUGGUGGUGUAUUGACUAGGAGGUUUACGAUUGAAGUUUAGCCUAGGUUGAGGGAAAUUUUGGCGAGUAGGCGAUGAUGGGUAGUGAGAAGGUUGAGAGUUAUAUGGUUGGUAUACGGGUGUAGGUUGGGAAUAUCUGGGUGAGGUGGGUUGAUUGGUCAGCAGGUGGUGGAAUUUGGUAAGUGGGUGAUGGUGCUUAGUAAUUUAGAGUAGGCUGAUAUGUGAGUGGAGCUGAGGGAUAGGUCGGGUAUUUCAAGGGGGAGUUAUUUCUUUGCAUAGCCAUUACAGAAUUCACAACCUUUUUCUUUUACGAGCCACCAGACUGUAGAGCCUUGUUGGUGGCUUGCAAUGCAUCGAGGUUAGUGACCAUACCGUUCUUGAUGCCUUCUUCAAUCCUUUCUCCCAAUUUAAUGAUGUCGAAGAACUUUUGACCCUCAAUUAGCAUCAGUCUCUCAUAGUACUGUGGAUCCUGAGCAUGGACGAAGAACCUGUUCAUUUGCUCUUCCUCCAAGGAUGGUCUGACCUUAGCAGCUUCGGAUCUCCAACGAGUAGCAUACUCGCGAAAGGUCUCUGUGGUCUUUUUCUUGAGAUUCUAUAUAUAGAACACAUCAGGUGCGUUCUCAGUGUUAAACCUAAACCGAUCCGUAAAAUCAGAUGUCGUGUUUACGCAACUGGUCCACUUCUUCGCAUCCUGGCUAAUAUACCAAGAUAAAGCAUCACCCUUCAAGCUCCUCAUGAACAGCUUCAUACGGAUCUUCUCCUCCCUUCGGACCCCUAUUAACUUGUCACAAUACAUUCUCAAGUGGAACCUGGGAUCACCUAUGCCAUCUAACAUUUCGAACUUGGGAGGUUUGUACCCCUACGGGAGCUCAACAUCUGGUUGAACACAGAGAUCUUCGUAAUUCAACCCCUUAACACUUUUGUUACCUUCGAAACCUUGGACCCGGCUAGUCAACUUCUUGAUCUCAGCGGCCAAAUUUUGAAUAAGGGAACUUUUGUCCUCUGCCUCGACCGCACUAGUGAUGGGCUGACUAUAAUGCGGCAUAGUGUCCACAAAGAUUGGAAUGUUAUGGUCUUUUGUGGUGUUUUCAGGAGGGUGUAGUGGAGUGUUGUGUGUGGGUAGAACUGGAGGUUGUGGGAUGUUUUGUGGUGGUGCGGGGUUCUGUGUGUUAACAUCUGGUGCGGCAAGAGUGAUUCACAUGCUUGCCAGGUUUCUAACUUUGUCCAAUUCCUCUUGGAACCUCAGCAAAGUUUGCUCCAGAUGAGCAACAGUUUCCUUGGUGAUUGGAGCAUUCUG